UACGUAGGGGGCAAGCGUUGUCCGGAAUCAUUGGGCGUAAAGAGCGUGUAGGCGGUCCGGUAAGUCGGCUGUGAAAGUCCAAGGCUCAACCUUGGGAUGCCGGUCGAUACUGCCGGACUAGAGUUCGGAAGAGGCGAGUGGAAUUCCCGGUGUAGCGGUGAAAUGCGCAGAUAUCAGGAAGAACACCAACGGCGAAGGCAGCUCGCUGGGACGGUACUGACGCUGAGACGCGAAAGCGUGGGGAGCGAACAGG
rnacentral:rRNA from 1 species